CCGCUGGUGCAGUACUAGGGCAAGCUCAUUUGCUCCUGUGUCUGUAGGCUGGAAAUGUCCCAGAACUUCAACAUAAAACUUUAAAUAGCUUUUUACAUGAAUGAUGUCUAGCAGUGAGAUAAAUUCUUUUUUAAAAUGACAUGGUCUAUAAAUGACAGGUACUGUAGCAAGUGUAAAUGUACAAAUAGUCAGUUUUAGUUAGCAAUGUAAAUGUAUUUCCUCUAGGACUUUUUAACCUCAGCAUACUCUCUUUAAACUGUUUGGGGUUACAGUUUAGGAGACUGUAAGAGCAUCCAGGAAAAAAAGAUAAAGUUCUUUGCACAUUGUUUUUUACCACUGACCAAAGUUCAUUUGCCUGAAAUAGGCUCCGAAAUGACGGGCUGCUUGAAAACAACAGUGCUGUAUGACUAUAUACAAGACAGAACAUGUGAAACAGAAGAUUUGCACAGCGCUAGCAGUUAGCCUUUGGUGGUCUCAUCACAGAAAACAUCUGCAGAAAACAUCUGCAUCUCUGAUGAUACAACUCAAAAUUCAUCUCCUUCACUGUUCCUGGGAUAGACUCUGGAUCCACCGUGACUCCAAGAAGCCGUUUCUGAAGAUGAAUG